AAUUGGUAAAGUAUAAAUUGGCAUUAUUACGUACAUAAGCUCUUUUCUAGAAACUUCGAUGAUCUGACGUCACAGAAGCAGUGAUGACGUAACAAGAACCUGCUUCAUUAUGGGUAUGUGACGUCACAGAGAAAUCCGCCAUCACCGAAGAAUUGUGUUCAAGAUGGAAAAAGACGAGAAAAAAAGCGCAAGAUGAAAAACAAAGAAGAAGACGCCAAUAUAAAGAUGUCGGUUUGAGGUGUUUGUAGGCUUAAGUGUGUAUAGGCCUACUAUAAGUGUGUAUAGGCUUAGUAUAGGUGUGUACGCGCGAAGAAAGAAGAUCAAAGACGCCGACAAAGGAUGUCGGUUUCAGGUGGUUUAGGCUUAGUGUUUAAGUAUGAGUGUGUUUGUUUGUGUUAGCUGGUGCACUCAUACAGUGAUGCCAGCUAUUUUUUGCUGGGUCUAAUGUUGCCAGCUAUGUCCCCAAGCACUUUUUCGUGCUUCUUCAUGUAUUUGAAACAAAUGUAAAGGAAUUGUUGCAACAAUCUUACUUGAUAAAGAUUAGCAUCUACUGUAAUGUUCAUUCCUUCCCGAGUGUUUUAUCUGUCGGGACUUGAAUCUUACAGUGGUUUUGUAUUGUCUUGGUUUGCUUUGCGAGAACUCUGUCUUGGUACACAUAUACUCGAGUAAUAUCAACGCGCAGUGUAAUAUAUACAUUAACUUUUAAUUCCCUUUUAAU